CUCAUUUGGCUUUCAUGUCAGCUCCUUCAGGAGCUGCAGAACAGCUCUCUAACAACUGAGAAAUGCCAGACAGUUUGUUUGUGGUUGGUGGAGACUCAGAAGAGGAUAAGUGGCAGAUCUGUUCCCCUGUAAGUGCUGGAGAGAAGACGCUGUCUGGAAGACCAGGGACGAUCAGACUUUUUGGAGACAGGGAAGCAUGGGUUUUCCUGUCUGAACAAAGCCCCGGACCUACCUUACCAGCGUGAGAGGGGGAUCAUACAAGCGUACUGUGGAUUCUUUGUACGUGCUACUUGAUUGUGGUCUAUUUCUUACUGACCCACCCAAAAAGAGAGAAGAAGAAUCAAGUGAAAAUCGUUGUCUUGCCACUUCUGCCUGAGAGCUGGCUGAAUGUUUUGACGCCUGCUGGAGAAACUACCUGGGCUAUUAGUAAGGGAGCAGCUGGCACUGCAUCUCUGGUCAGCAAAGCUCUCUGCAUGGAGUACAAUGAUCAAGUUGCCUUAAGUCAAACCAUACGCAAGUUGCACUAAUUGCUGUAACUGUGUUGCUAAUACCACUCCAGACUCUACUAGAGCUUUCCAAGACAGUACUUUCUCAUGUAGUUUGAAUAUUUUCAAUUGACAUUUGAAUGUUUCUAUUAAAUCUGAUGUGGCUGUGAAAAGUGGAGGGGGUGAAUUUUUUCCUACUAAGUUCAUGGUGAAUUUUGAAGCCUUAUUACCAAGUGGGAUUCAUGCUAUGGCAGCAACCUACAGGCUUAUGGUCACUACUGUGAACUGCUACAGCAGUGUGGUGAUAGACCGUCACUUUCAGCACGCUGUGCAUUACUGCACAGGGACUUGCCAGGUGUUUAAGCAAGGAGUCACGUGUUUAGUUGCUCAUCACGGUGUUUGUGCGGAGCUCAAUGUCCAAGAUGACAACCUAGACAAUAAGCUUCCUGUUCCUGAAAAUGGAUUUGCCUUGCCUGGAAAUGAGGACGAUCACCAAAUCCUCCCAAGUAACCCGAGGCUCAAAAAGGGCUCUGCAAUGCAAGCCACUGGCAGUUUAAAAGACAUUACUGGGGAGGCAAUAAACCUUGCCAGUGGUAAAAUAAAGGAGUUCUCCUUUGACAAGCUCAAAAACUCUUCCAGUCACGUGGCCUACAGAAAGGGAAGGAAAGUUCGAUCAGAAUCAUUCAGCAGACGAUCUUUUGAUUUUGAUUUGAUUUAUGGGCACUUCAACAAUGAUGAGAAUUGCCCUCCGUGUGGCUUCUUGCAGAGCCCCUCACCUGGGGAGAAAUGGCAGGAGAGCAAUGACUCGCCAGAAGUCAGCAUGAAUUCCAUGGCUCCCUUCUCCGAAGAAAACUUCAUUACCCAAAUUUUGGAAAAACACAAGCUGGACGGUUCUUCUGGUGGAGAUAUUAAGGUGUGCUUAGACAUCCUGCUCAAGUGCUCAGAGGAUCUGAAGAAGUGCACAGACAUCAUAAAGCAUUGCAUCAAGAAGAAGUCUGCAGAUGGCGUUAGUGCGGGCAACAAAAGCGAUCCCCUGGCUAAUUCAGAAAUAAUAUAUAUGAAUCUGAUGACAAGAUUUUCUUCGUACCUAAAAAAGCUACCAUUUGAGCUCAAGUCACCUGGGCACAAGGAAGCGAGUGACUUGGCAGACUUGGUUAACUGUUUUCAUGACUUGCAGCAGACUCCCUUUUGCACAGUAUUUGGAGAUGAGCAACCACCUAGGUAUGAAGAUAUUAUCCAGCUGCCAUCCUCAGGAGCAGUUCCUCUCGGACUACCAGGUGAGCAGUGUGAGGUGACAAGCACCACUCAAUCCAUCCAAACAAGUACUGUGAGCUUUACCUCAAACUCCCUUCACAGCAUCACACAGGAGAGCGGCGCGAGGGCUGUGAAAGAUGCUUGCGCUCUACCUCAGUUACCCACCACAAGCCCUUCUGACUGCACAUCUUCCACGGAGGCUCUGUACAUUGAAGAAGAAUCAGAUGGGGAAAGAGCAUUAGAGAAGGUAAAGAAGGCAGAAGAGAAAGGUGACUGGGAGAGUUUAGAGCACAGCUACCAGCCAACUGGCUGUUCAGAUCUAACUGCAAAUGUUAAAGCAGAACGUGCCAGAGUGGGAGCUGAUAAACUCGCCCACACUUCUGAGAAAAUUACUCUUUUAAAACCAGGUUUGGAUACUGCUCUGGGUGGUUCCCAAGCUGGUGUCUCCAAAGGAGAACAGAAGUGCGGUAAAACGGACAGAGAUGAGAUAGACAAACUGCUGCUGGACUUGGAGUGCUUCUCACAGAAAAUGGAGAGUACUUUGAGGGAAUCAUCUCUAAAGGAGAGUGAACCUGCCUCUUUGCAGGUGUUUGGCUGGCAGGGUAGGCAGGUACUACCUCUGGCUCUUGAACCCAAAAGCAAGCCCAUUGAUCCCACUAACUCUUUGUCAAAAAUCAUGGAAACCAACGGUCAUAAAAUGGAAGAAGAUGACAAAGCCCUUUUACUGCGUAUCCUGGAAAGCAUUGAGGACUUUGCCCAGGAACUGGUGGAAUUCCAAACGGGCAAGGGAAGCUUGUCCAAGGAGAAGGAAGUAAUGCGGAUUCUGCAGGAAACUUUAACAACUCCUUCACAGUCCCUCCUUACAGGGCAAAAAAGCUGUACUGGGGCUGCCUCCAGAGACUCUGUUCCAGCUUCGAUUCAGCAGGCCCCAGAAGUGAUAAAGGUUCAAAAUAAACCAGAGAAGAAGCCUGGAACUUCAUCCUCAGUCCCUUUGAACUCAGUGGUUAGCCCGUGUGCUCUUCUGCCUGUGAAUAAAGCCACCAGCAGCACCCCUUUGCCCAUAAACAUUCCACGUUUCUACUUCCCCAAAGGACUUCCGAAUGUCUGCACUAAUCAUGAGGAGGUCAUUGCCAGGAUUGAAGAAGCCUUUACAGAGUUUGAAGAUGAGAAAGCUAACGUCUGUGAAAUGGGGAAAAUUGCUAAGAUAUGUGGCUGCCCACUCUAUUGGAAAGCACCUAUGUUCACUGCAUCCGGAGGAGAAAGGACAGGAUGUGUAUCUGUACACUCAUUUGUAACCAUGUGGAGAAAAGUCCUACAUAACUGUCAUGACGAUGCAUCCAGAUUCACAUACCUUUUAGCAAAGCCUGGCUGUGACUGCCUGGAGCAGGAGGACUUCAUCCCGCUGCUCCAGGAUGUGGUGGAAACGCAUCCUGGCCUGACCUUCCUGAAGGAUGCUCCGGAGUUCCAUUCCCGGUAUAUUACGACGGUUAUACAGAGAAUAUUCUACACAGUCAAUCGAUCCUGGUCUGGGAAGAUCACUCUAACAGAGCUGAGGAAAAGCAACUUCUUGCAAACUCUUGCUCUCUUGGAAGAAGAGGAUGACAUAAAUCAGAUCACAGAUUAUUUCUCCUAUGAGCAUUUCUAUGUCAUAUACUGUAAAUUCUGGGAGCUGGAUACUGACCAUGAUCUUUACAUCAGCCAGAAGGAUCUGGCUAGGUACAGUGAUCAAGCUUUAUCAAGCAGGAUUAUCGAGCGAAUAUUCAGCGGCGCUGUGGUGAGAGGAAAUGAAGUUCAGAAGGAAGGCCGGAUGAGCUAUGCUGAUUUUGUGUGGCUGCUAAUUUCGGAGGAAGACAAAAGGAGUGCUACAAGUAUUGAAUACUGGUUUCGGUGCAUGGACCUGGAUGGGGAUGGGGUGCUCUCCAUGUAUGAACUGGAGUACUUUUAUGAGGAGCAGUGUGAGCGGAUGGAAGUGAUGGGCAUAGAACCACUGCCGUUUCAUGACUUGCUAUGUCAGAUGCUUGACCUUGUUAAGCCAGAGAGGGAUGGAAGAGUAACCCUACGAGACCUGAAGAGGUGCAGAAUGGCUCAUGUAUUCUACAACACCUUCUUCAAUUUAGAGAAAUACCUGGACAAUGAGCAGAGGGAUCCCUUUGCAGUGCAAAAGGACAUUGAAAACGAUGGCCCUGAACCCUCCGACUGGGACAGGUACGCUGCUGAAGAGUACGAGAUCCUUGUGGCUGAGGAGUCUGGGAACGAACAGUUACAAGAAGGAUCAUUUGAAGAAGACUAUGACGCAGAUGAAGUCUUAUCUCCCCCUGAAACUGGAGACAAGUCAGACAAACUAGUUAUCUCAGAUCUCUCAGCAUAGGGAAACGGAAGACAUGUAAUCAGUAUCUGUCAAACUGGAUAGCAAUCAGUCCUAAGACACUUAAGGGAUUUUUCUUAAAUCCCUCAUUGGAGCAAUGUGCUUUAUUUUGUACACUGUAAGUUGAGAACCCUUUUUCUCUUCCUGUGUAACUGCAGUAGGUAAUUUCUAUAAAAGGCUUUUUACAAUGUGUUAUUGUGCACGCUCAUUAAAAAUGGUGAUUGUACCUUGUUUCCUUUAUAUCUUUCCAUACAAAUUCUGUUCUGUCCCUCUAUGUGCAAUAAAUGCCAGCAUCUCCUUAUUAACCAUAACAACCGCAUGCAACGUCUGCAGUGGCAAUUUCUGGUUCAGUUCAGUGCCAUUGUGACCCUUUGGCUUUAUACUAGCAGUGAAAUCAGAGUUGCCAGAUUAACUUGAUUUAAAUGAAAAACUAGAAGUCUUAAAACACAAGGCACAGUUAAGUUCUCAUUUUUAUUAGUUUCACCUUUUUUUCCCCCUGGAAAGCAAGGCAACAUCCCUGAGCAUGGGGAAAGUGAGGUCCCUUUUUGUGCGUUAUGCCGCAAGAUCUUCAAUCGCUACUACGCGUAUUUUACAGCACAGUACAUGCUGCAGUGUUUCUCUGAGGAUUUAAGAUGAAGGUAGUGCUUCUGUAUAUCCUCCUUGCAUGAGAAGAUCUCCUUUAUAAAUACCAAGCAGGCAGGUCUUUAAGUCUUCUCUUGCACCUUUACGAGGAAGCAGACACACGCAUGCUCAGGAGGUGCGCUCAGACUGCUGUGUUUCGCGCACGCCACUUCUGUCCGUGCCCUGUGCUCUUCCCAGCUCCUCUGUCGCUGAUCUCUAGCCUUCUGCAAGCCGAGACUGAGCUGAGAUCAUGAGGAAGAGGGAAAAAACAAACCCUGACUCAGUAUGCUAAGUUUUUAACAGAGGGAUCCUUCAUAACUUGUAAAGGAAUUAAGCAGGUACAGGACUGAAAAUUUAUUUUCCAUCCAUGAAAUGAGCCCUAAUCUCAGAGAGGAAACACUAUAAAGCAAGAAUUUGUUAGGGAGUUAAGUACAAAACGAACCUGACUUUCCCCAUGGACUCACAACCAGUGUCUCCAGUAACAACGGCACAUUGUCUAUUGCUGGUGCUGUUCCUCCUAUACAGCUAGGAGCUUCAGUUUGUGAUUCAAUUCAGAGGUGAGUAUAACAUGUUUUGACCAGUCCUCAGUUUUACUCAUCAUAGCUAUACAAAUAGAUGUGGUACUUACCUUCUCCAGUUUGGGACAGGUUUCAGUUGCCAAAGCAUACUUUUCCAACUUUUGUAACUGUCCAAAUCUAUACGAUGUGGUUUUUAUACACUGCUUUUCCUGUUUACCUCACCUGAGGACUAUCAAACCGUGACUCCUCAGAACACGCUUGGGUGAAACCUUGCCGGAACACUCGAGAGCGCCCUGCACUGCCAGCGCGAGAAGCCGCUCUCCAAGCAGCCGCCUCCUUGCCUCCUCUACAGGCAGAGCCCACCCAUUUAAUAGCCCAUUUUUAUGUAGGCGCACUAUUAGCUUGGCACAUGUUGCGCGUGCAGAUGCUAGCACAACGGAACAUUUAUCCCUAGAUGAUACUUCUGAACGGUACUAUUACACAAAUAACCAAGUAACUGGCUGUUCAGCACUCCAGCUUUUCUAGGAGUCUUUGAAGUGUCAGGCCUGCCUCCCCGUGCCCGGCUAGGAUAUAUUGCUGCCUUAUUGAGUUAGAAACUUUCUCAUCAGGAUCAAAAGCUGAAAGGGCGGGGAGGAGCUUUCAGUUACGUUGGGCUUGGAGAGCUAUUCUGUUUUCCUUGAACAAAGCCUCUGUUUUCUCCAGAUGCCUACGCACAUCCCAGGAUCCUGGCUUUUCAGGUAUCUCGGAAACUUCUGGAUGCUCCAAGUUCUCAGCAAAGGCACUUCCAGUUAAAUUUCUUUCCAUAAUAAAAGAUAUCAACAGGGAACGCACGACUGAAACUGAGAUAAGCCCCCUUUAAUGCUCCUUUGAAUGGAACAAGGGCAAAAGUUCGGCUCAACACCAGGACAUGCCUGAAAAACAGAGCGAGGCACGCGUGGGGCCCUGCUGGAGCCCGUCCCAGGUUCACCACGGUGCCUUGCAUUUUUAUGAGCGCAGUAACUACGUUCCUCUCAGGCAUGAGUCCUCAGACACCGAUGUCAGAAUUACAUCUCCAGCAUCACUACAGUCCCCAGGGGAAAAGCUAGCUUUAUUGGGGAUGAUUCCGCAAAUAUUCCAGUGCAGAAGAAACCAGGAAAUGAUUGCAGAAACGAACACAGGACGGAAGUCACACAACCACCAAUUGUCACUAGCGCUGUGCACUUCUUGCCCCGAAAAAUCCUAGGCAAAGUGGCUCACCUCUUCUUGAAUACCCAGUCUAUAAUGGCCUUUCACUCUUAGCUUGAUACAGUUUUAAAUCUCUCCAAAGCCAAAACCUCCUCAAAGGAGCAAGAAGAACCUGAACCCAUUCUAGGCUGAAGUAGUUUCACCACUGUCUUGUCCUUCGUGUUACUUUUAAAUCCAUAAGCAGCAGCAGCAACUGGCAUGCCCAGUUUGCCAGUGAUUUAAAACCUCAUUUCAGAAUAACUUGGAGAUUGUCUCUGUGAGACUUUAACCUGAGAUAGCCUUGCACCUCCGAGAAAACUGAGCUCUUUCAGUACAGUCCAGACUAGUAUAGGAGUUCAGGUCGGAAAGGGCCUCUUUAGGUCUCUAGUCCGACUCCCUGCUCAAAGGCAGGGCGGCUUCAAAGUUAGAGCAGGUUGCUCAGGAUCUCGUCCAGCCAAGUUUUAAACAUCUCCAUGGAUGGUGAUUCCACAGCCUUUCUGAGCACCGUAUUUCCUCCUCCUCGGGAGUUCAGAAUAGCAACAUCCUUCUCCAGGAAGGAUGUAUAUUCCCAGGAACAUACAAUUGCUAUUUCACCCAAGGAGGCAGUUAAACGAAGAACGCAGAAGGCUCUCCAGUUGAGCAUGCGUCACCCUGUUCUGAGGCACCAGAUGUACGUUGGGAUGAAGGCACAGCCCACCACGGAUCAUGAGAAGCUGGGACCCGAGCAACCCUUGGUGCGUCGCUCCUUCAGUUCCUGCUUCUGAUCCACCACAAGAUCUUUCAUCUCUCUCAUUUACACGCCAUUGCAGAGGGGCUUCAACCUCAGCCCACCAGAUCAGUUCAGACUUCCAUCUCACACCAGUCUGCCUGAAGCAGCAGCUUUUUUAAAGGCGUUAUUCCCCUGAGCCUGGUAGAACCGCCACCUCCUUUUUAAGGGUUGGCGUCGAUAAAUGCAGACAGAAGCUCCUAGCUGCUCCUCUGAGCCUUCGCACAGACGGAGAGGUUCAUUGCUUUUAUGACACAGUGAUCCCAAACCCAGUUCAUGCCUUCUAGUAGGUCAACGCAACGAGCUAAUCCAAAGAAAAAUACGGCAAAUAUUUUGCCUCACAUGCAACGACAAGCUACAGAAGCCAUUGUUAGCAUGAUCUCGGUGCAAGACGUGCAGUAAUUUAUAUUAUUUACUCCAGGAGCAGAAAGCCAGUUAUCUACUAAUUCAAGUGUAUUUACUAAUACACUUGAAAAUAACCGUAAUUCAGCAAUUUCAGAUGAUUUCGUAAAUGUGGUAUUUUACACUAAAUCUAGGACUUCGUCCUGUCACAGCUUACCUGGGUGGAAGGUUUCUAAAGCUGCAGCACAGAAACAAGGCAGAUUUUGGAAUUCCUAUUCUACUUUUGUAGUUUUUCCUUUUGGGAUAGUCAAAACAUAAAUAGAUAAAGAUGUUUAUGAAUACAGACACCAAAGUCUGCUAAGCAGUAACACGUACCAGUUUGAGAGGUCCCCAAGUUCUCUAGAAUGAAGCAAGCCAACAGUUACAGCACCGAAAACUUGUAGGAACCCACUUCUCUCCAACUCUGCCUCCUGUUUCCAACUAUCAAUGCCACUUUAGAUAUUGCAUAAAGAACAUUUUUCAUUGUAAAUCCAGCUGAGACUGAAGUCCAUUACGAGCUGGAUUCCUUUCCCCCUACAAAUAGUCAGAAAAGUGAGUAACAUACAAUUUUGCAUGAUAAAAAAAAUGGUGCUUAUUUAUUCCCUACAGUCUGCUUUUUCCCAGCAGAAUUAAGUCCUGUGCCCUUCCUUACAAAAACCUUGCUUUUUGUUUUCAUAUACAAAAAUAUUCUCUCUCAACAGUAUUAAGAUGAGAGAUAUGGCUAGAUACAACCACAUGCAAUUACUACUGUAAUGGUACCAGCUUGAUUUUUUUCUUCUUUUUCUAAAAUCUCAGUAGCAGUUGCUACAUUACAGUCGUCUUCUGCAAAACCCAGGCGGGAACAUCGUUCCGCUUCUGCCGGCCUGCCACCAAGCGGCGGUAUUGCAAAGCAGACAUGGACAGCACAAACAUUUCCAGUCUCAGGUUUACAGAAAACAUUGCAGAAAAUCUUCCUGUUUUCCUAAGCAAACGGUUUAAGAGAGCUGGCUUGAGAUACUCUAGCCAAGGUACUGUUCUUAGCGUCUGAAGUGAAAUACGUCCAAAAGGCCAAAAAAAAA